rnacentral:rRNA from 1 species
GACGAACGCUGGCGGCGUGCUUAACACAUGCAAGUCGAACGGAAAGACCCUGCUUUUGUGGGGUGCUCGAGUGGCGAACGGGUGAGUAACACGUGAGUAACCUGCCCUUGACUUUGGGAUAACUUCAGGCAACUGGGGCUAAUACCGGAUAGGAGCUCCUGCUGCAUGGUGGGGGUUGGAAAGUUUCGGCGGUUGGGGAUGGACUCGCGGCUUAUCAGCUUGUUGGUGGGGUAGUGGCUUACCAAGGCUUUGACGGGUAGCCGGCCUGAGAGGGUGACCGGCCACAUUGGGACUGAGAUACGGCCCAGACUCCUACGGGAGGCAGCAGUGGGGAAUAUUGCACAAUGGGCGGAAGCCUGAUGCAGCAACGCCGCGUGCGGGAUGACGGCCUUCGGGUUGUAAACCGCUUUCGCCUGUGACGAAGCGUGAGUGACGGUAAUGGGUAAAGAAGCACCGGCUAACUACGUG